rnacentral:rRNA from 1 species
GUCGAGGAUCUUCCGCAAUGGGCGCAAGCCUGACGGAGCGACGCCGCGUGGAGGACGAAGGCCUUAGGGUUGUAAACUCCUGUCGAGGGUUAUGAAGAGCGUCUGGCGAACAGCCUGACGAGUGACGUAAGCCCUGGAGGAAGCACCGGCUAACUCUGUGCCAGCAGCCGCGGUAAUACAGAGGGUGCUAACGUUGUUCGGAAUUACUGGGCAUAAAGCGCACGUAGGCGGCGCGUCAAGUGCGGGGUGAAAUCCCACGGCUUACCCGUGGAACAGCUUUGCAUACUGACGUGCUGGAGUGCGGUAGAGGAGAGCGGAACUCUUGGUGGAGCGGUGAAAUGCGUAGAUAUCAAGAGGAACACCAAAGGCGAAGGCAGCUCUCUGGGCCGUUACUGACGCUGAGGUGCGAAAGCCAGGGGAUCAAACGGGAUUAGAAACCCUUGUAGUCC